rnacentral:rRNA from 1 species
UGGGGAAUUUUGGACAAUGGGGGCAACCCUGAUCCAGCCAUGCCGCGUGUGUGAAGAAGGCCUUCGGGUUGUAAAGCACUUUCGGACGGAACGAAAUCGCGCGGGCGAAUACCCCGCGUGGAUGACGGUACCGUAAGAAGAAGCACCGGCUAACUACGUGCCAGCAGCCGCGGUAAUACGUAGGGUGCGAGCGUUAAUCGGAAUUACUGGGCGUAAAGCGUGCGCAGGCGGCGGCACAAGUCAGGUGUGAAAUCCCCGGGCUUAACCUGGGAAUUGCGCUUGAAACUAGGUCGCUUGAGUGUGGCAGAGGGGGUGGAAUUCCACGUGUAGCAGUGAAAUGCGUAGAGAUGUGGAGGAACACCGAUGGCGAAGGCAGCCCCCUGGGUCAACACUGACGCUCAUGCACGAAAGCCAGGGGAGCAAACGGGAUUAGAUACCCACGUAGUCCCUGAG